AUCCUGGCUCAGGAUGAACGCUAGCGGCAGGCUUAACACAUGCAAGUCGAGGGGUAUAGUUCUUCGGAAUUAGAGACCGGCGCACGGGUGCGUAACGCGUAUGCAAUCUACCUUUCACAGAGGGAUAGCCCAGAGAAAUUUGGAUUAAUACCUCAUAGUAUAGCAGUUUCGCAUGAAACCACUAUUAAAGUCACAACGGUGAAAGAUGAGCAUGCGUCCCAUUAGCUAGUUGGUAAGGUAACGGCUUACCAAGGCAACGAUGGGUAGGGGUCCUGAGAGGGAGAUCCCCCACACUGGUACUGAGACACGGACCAGACUCCUACGGGAGGCAGCAGUGAGGAAUAUUGGACAAUGGGCGCAAGCCUGAUCCGGCCAUGCCGCGUGCAGGAUGACGGUCCUAUGGAUUGUAAACUGCUUUAUACAGGAAGAAACACUACUUCGUGAAGUAGCUUGACGGUACUGUAAGAAUAAGGAUCGGCUAACUCCGUG
rnacentral:rRNA from 1 species